rnacentral:rRNA from 1 species
UACGAAGGGGGCUAGCGUUGUUCGGAAUUACUGGGCGUAAAGCGCACGUAGGCGGAUCGAUCAGUCAGGGGUGAAAUCCUGGAGCUCAACUCCAGAACUGCCUUUGAUACUGAAGAUCUUGAGUUCGGGAGAGGUGAGUGGAACUGCGAGUGUAGAGGUGAAAUUCGUAGAUAUUCGCAAGAACACCAGUGGCGAAGGCGGCUCACUGGCCCGGUACUGACGCUGAGGUGCGAAAGCGUGGGGAGCAAACAGG